AUGUUGUCAAUUAUGGCACGCAGCACAGCCAUUAUAGACUAUGUCCCCUGCUCUCUCUCUCUCUCUCUCUCUCUCUCUCUCUCUCUCUCUCCGUUCCCGUUCACCGCCGCGUUUAUCUGUCUUCUGCGUCAGUUAUCAUCCAAAUCAAAUCAAAUGUAUUUAUAUAGUUAUAUAGUUAUGAGUUAUCAGGAGAAGAAAAGUGAGAUGCAGAGAAUUACUGUGUUGGUGGGAAUGCACUUUCUGCUCUAAUGUUGCUGGGUUUAUAGCUGCUUUAAAAGUUCUGUCACAAAAACACAGUGCAUGUAUGUUCUGUACAGUGUGUUGGGCAAUGGGCUGAGCUGGCCAUGUGACAAGAAGACAUUCUCCGUCCUCUUUAUUGUCUCCUGAUUAGUUUGAGAUGUAAUUGAUGGAUACAAGAUGAGAAUGGUUUGUUUUUAGGAGCUUUAUCGUCAUCAUUGAUGCUGAAUGAACAGAUUGAGAUACAGAAUAGAUUGACCGAUGUUGACUGGAUUGGUUUUAGUGUGGCGUAAAUCACAACCAUUUUCGCACUAUUUGAGUAAUAUGAGUAAUAUUUGAAUAUACGAUGAUGAUGAUUAAUAUAUUCUUAUUGUUAUUGGUAUCUUUAUACUAGUGUGUGUUAAUGUGAUUAUUAUAAUGUAAUGUUAUUAUUGUCAUUAUAAUAUUAUACUAAUAUUGUUGUAUAUAUUGGUAUUAUUAUAAAUCUUUCUUUAAGUUGUCUCACUGACAUUUUGUUCAGUCGUGGAAAUAAUAAUGAUUUGAUGGCUCCUUCAGAUACAUUGACAUCUUUACUAAGAAUGUCUAUGAUGCUUGUAUGAAAUACUGGAAUAGAGUGAUUUCGCUGACAUAGCUGUGGUAUGAGUGUAUCUGACAGAUUCUAUGGUCAAAGUGGCAGAUUCCACAGGGAUAGAGAGAGAGAGAGAGAGAGAGAGAGAGAGAGGAUAGAGUGAAGGUAUAGAGAAACAGAGAGAGAGAGCGUAUAGAGAGAGGGUAACAGAAAGAGAGGAAGAAAGAGACCGAUAGAUAGAAAGGGAGAGAUGCAGAAGUAAAGGGAAAAGAGCGAGAUUGAUCGUAAGGAAGGGGCAGAGAUGAGGAAGGGGACUUCUAGGGGUGCUGAGGGGAGCAGUGUGGAACUCUCACUCUCUACCGUUUGCCCCUGUGAGUUUAUUGGGGGGGGGUUGUGGUGUAAUGUCACCUUUUAUGAGUGGGUCCACACCAGAUGUCUAAACACCUAAAUGUGCCUUAUGAGUAAAGCUGCAUAAAUGGUUAUAAAAAACACUUCCAUUUCUGCUGCUAAAAUAAUACGUAGAAAUGUGUAUUUUAGUGUGUCAUCAUUGCAUUGGUAUUGCAUUGUAAUACAUUGUGGGAUAUUAUUCUAAAGUAGGACAGUGGAUUUUUUUUUUGUGGUAGUGUAAUUUGUUACUGUUUGAAACUUUUACAUUGAAUGGAAUUCAUUCAGGAAUUUUGGGAAUCAAAGUGUGUAAUGUGAAUUAAAGUUGACCUGUAGUAAAUUGGAUUUAUGUGUAAUUUAACUAGAAAAGCAUUGCGGAUGAAAAUGGUUAAGUGUUUUAAAGGGACAGG
rnacentral:lncRNA from 13 species